AUGACAAUGUUGUCGCGGAGUUCUGAUCCUCCCAUGGAUGUCCAAAAAGGCACUGCCUGGCCGGCGGCGACAGAGGAGGAGGAGCUGUCCUGCUGUACCGCGGCGUCGCUGAAAGUGUUCAUGGUGCUGUAUUCGCUGUAUAUGGUUGGCCUGAUCAUAUGGAUGUUCAAGGUUUGCGAAAAUUGGUGGCAGGCAUGGCCGGCUGUUUUUCUCGUGUUAGUCUGGGUAUUGGCACUCCUGGUGCUUGCCGGGCAACAUGCCAAAGUAACGUUGUCCGCGAGUUCUGAUCAUUGCCUGGACCUCGAGAAAGGCGCUGGGCCAACGCUGACCAAGGAGGAGGAGCUGGCCAAGGUGAACUCUCGCAUUGCCAAGGGUAUCAUGGUGGUUCUGACGAAAAAGACCAUGCAUUGGCAUGCAUCCAAAAAAGAGUGCAUAGUUAUUGUCGCUUCAUUGUUCCGUAUGGGCAUGUAA
rnacentral:rRNA from 1 species